AAUUAGAAUUCUUCCCUCCAGCCACAGCCCUGUUCUGCUAGAGACGGAAACUGCCUUAGACCUGGGGUUUCUCAUCUGCAUAGGAUCCUCCUCAAACUUACCAUUUUGGCCAGAAUGACUGACUAACUGCCCCCCUCUAUGAAUUACCAUGGGAAAAAAAAAAAGAAGGCCAGCACAACUCGUGAGAGGCCACCAGACAUGGGAAGGUCACCUUUCAAUACAAUGAACUUCAAGGAAGCUCCAGGACCCAGACCUUAAGAAUUGUUGAACCCUAUAAUAAGUUCUUUCUCAUUGUGCCCCACCACCCAGCAAGCACAGACAUAAAGCAGAAACUCGAGCCGGCUUUCAUUCAAGCAGAAGGGCACCCCAACAUCGCGUUAUUGACAGGAGUUCUGAAAACCCUGACAGCUGCAGAAAUUGUGCUGUUGAAGCUCAAUUCCCCGGAGUUGGGAAUAAUAUACUGAUGUGCUAUCAUGAGCGGGUCUGACUAUUGGGAUGGAGGCGCUCUUUGUAUGCGGUUCUGAGCAGCAUCUGCAUAUUCUGGCCUCCUUGUUUGUGAUCUUGCUCAGCUGCCUACCAGUUCCAGCAAGUUUUGCGCCCCUUAUGGAAUGCUGGAGUACUACCAGGUCACCAAAGUCAAAUCAUUUACACCUUUUAUGAGUUUGUGGCUUCUAUUUCUUAACUUUGUACUUGUGUGUUCACUGGGAGUGUUAAUGAACAAGAACAUCACUUUACAGCAGGCUUAGAGAGAAAGCACUGGCAGUUUCAUCAUAGGGUUGUGGGGUAGAUGUGUUUUAUGGAUGUGCUUUACCUAAAGGAGCACAUCACCGCCCUUUAUAGCCCAGGGGCUUUGUUUCACUCGUGCAUCAGCAAUUGCUGUUGAGUUUCAACAGAUGCCUUUGUCUGUUUAUAAUGAAACAGUCACCUCCCCCUCUACUUUUGGAAAGUUGGGAAGAGUUAAAUUUAUGGAUAUUUGAGUCUUCCAUCGGCUAUGAAUUCCAGAGAUCAAAAUCACUUUCUAAGGAUGCUGUGGAUUGAUUCGAGAUUUUCCCAAAGGUUUAGGUGUUUGAACACUUAUUUGCUCCCUGGCUGGUCGUGCUGCUUGGGAAGAUUUCAGAACCUCAAGAAGGUGGGAGUGGGUCCUCUGUUUGUGGGGGUGUUUCUUUUUCCUCAUGAGACAAGGAUCUCAUUCAGAAGUGUAUCGAUUCUUAAAAUAAUCAACAAGUCAAAUUACAGCAUCCAACAGAUGUUUUACCAUCCAUUUGAAGAAAGCUAAUACUCAACUCUUGUUGUCAGACUUCAAAGAAAAUACAUGUCUAUUUAAGGGAUAAAUAAUACUUUGUUACUCGACAUUGCAUGUAAAACUAAUAAAAAUCCCAACAGUU